AUGCACACGGUCUUCUCUUUGACAUCAGACCUGGGUAGGCUUCCCUCUGAAGAGCAGGAGACAGCCGUAGAGCUUGCCUUUGAAGAGGUAACCAACUCCUGAUGGCUGAGAUUUGCUGUUUAUUUAGGAAGAAUCUUCUUUUAUAGCCAAGAAAAGAUAGCUGAGAGGUUUUAUGACAUUGGAAAGUAAUCACAUCUUAUGAACUGCUACCUCUGUACUCUGCUAAAUGGCAGCUGAGAGGCAGAGAGACAAAUUUCUUUCCUCGAUUAGCUGGAAGAGGAAACAGAAAGACUACUUUCACAUUCUGCCUUAAGAGACCUGAAAAACAGGUUUCAAAGCUUAAGCCCAAAUCAAGGGCCACUAGGGCUACCGCACCAAGACGAAGAGGACAUGGAAGUACAGCAGUGUUUGAGAGACGUGGCAUGAGAGCAAGAUGCGAACUUGUUUGAAAUUGGCCGAAGAUGAUGGGGCCUCUGGGUUCCUACAGAAGUCAGCAGAUUUUCUCCGGAAGAAAGCCCAUUCAGCAUGGGCUUCAGAUGGCUGCAAAUAAUGUUUCAUACCUGAUGAGAAUUGGCAGAUAUUUUGGACUUAAUGCUAAUGAAAAUGUUGCAUAGCAAAAACUGUGUAAACUGCUAAAGCAAUUCAUAGCUUUAAAGCACUCACAUUAGAAAAGUAAGAGAAGAAAAAAAGGUAUGGAGAAAACUGGAACAGAAAUAAACUAAAUAAGAAAUACAAUAAGAGAAAAAAAAUCACAAAAUUAGUUUUUGAUAUACUACUAACUUGAUAAAUUUCUGUUAAAAACAACCAAGAAAAACCAAGACACAUUAACAAAACCAUUAUAUAAAAGGGUACUUUUUAAAGAUCCUGAAGGUAAUUUUAAAGGAACAUAAAGACAUUAUUUAUGACUUUGUCAGUAAAGCUAAAGUAAAAUAAACAAUUUUUAGAAAAAGAAUAUAUUACCAAAAUUGAUUCACAAAGACAAGAACAAACUGAAGAAUUCAAUAACACAGAUUUCAAAACAAAGAAUAUUAUCAGGAACGAACAGUUAGGUUCAUAAUAAUGAAGGUCAUUUCAUUAAAAGACAUAAAAAAACCUAAAACAAGAGGCUUCCAAAUACAUGCAUAAAAAGUCAGAGAAAUGAUAAGAGAAAUACAGGAACCUACAAUUAUAGGUAGAAAUGUUGACAUCUCUCUAGCAAUAAUGGGUAGAAAAAGUGGACAGCAAAUCAGUAAGACUGUAGGAGAUUUGAGCAAUAGUAUCAACUUAGUUCACAUUCUACCCAACAGAAUGAGAAGUGAGAGUUUUAUACAUGAGCACAUGGAAAUUUAUUAAGGUUGAACAUACUCUGGUUUAUUUAACAAUCCUCAAUUAAUUAAAAAAUUCAGAGUUUACAGU